CCUCAACAAGCAAGAGUGAACAUGGGGAUGCCUGGAGUUAAUGCAUUUGGAGUCUCGACACAAUUGUAAUAAGACUGGGAAUGCAACCUAUUCAGCAAGAGUGGUAUGCAGGUAAAGAGUAGAAAAGAGCAUUCCUAGUCUCAGGCAGGCUCUUAUUCCCCACAGGAGUUUUCCCUCUGGAGCAGACCUGCUGACGGCUGAUGCGGGCUUGGUGUGAAAAUGAAAAUUCACAUUGCGUGGAAGCUUUGCCCGUGCCCCGUACUCUAUCAACUUUGGAUCCCAAGGAUUUGAAAUUGAGCCUUGUUAGAAGACAGAAACACAUCCUAAACUUCUUUUAUAUCCCAUUGCUGAAGCAAGUACCUUGGAUCCAAGAGGAUGUCUUGUGCAUGUGGCCUGCAUCUUGCAACCAAUCACAAGGAUCCAGGAAAUCAGGAGUGCCUUCAAAGUGACUAAGCCCCCCCCCGGGGGGGGGGCGGGACAAGCACAAUGGAGUGUAGCUGUGGUUGUACACCAUUGCUUGUGUGAACUAUUAUGACUAUGGGCCAGAAUGAACAUGAAUACACAAGACUCGAGGAUAAGAACACUAAGCACAAGCCCUAAAACUUCAGUGAGAAAACAGCAGCUGAAGUGAAGGAUGUGUUGGAGGAAAUGCGAGGACCUGAAAGAAAGCUUUGGUGUUUGUGGUACUCCCCACAACUGGAUUUCAGUUGCCUGCCUGCCGGGAUGUUUGUUUAUUUAAAGGAGAAUCAAGUCAAGUGUCAACAUUCCCACCUAGAAAUCUACACAAGGAGAAUGGAUUAGCCUCUGUAUGUUUAUCCUCAGGGUUGGGGAAAGAAUUGUUUGUCUGUUAGCAUAAACAGUUGCAUGGAGCUGCUCAGAAGGUCUGUUUGCUUUCCCUGGAAGGGCAGAGCCACCAGCUCCCCAGAAAUGUUUGACCUCUCUCCUCCUCUCCUGCCCCAAGAUAAACAGAUGGUGUGGUAGAUGAAGAACUUGCCUCCCUAGGAAGAGCCUCUGAUUGUCUUUCCUUGUCUGUAAAGUGAGUGUGAUAAUAGAAGCCCCAUCAGACAGAGACCAUUAGGAGGGACAAAUGCUCUGCUCUCCAUGCAUGUAAUUGUAGAGUAAUUUCCCAGUACAGGGGCAACCCUUCAGGGAGGGGACAUUGAGUCCAAAAGUCCAGACCCUGUUGCAUCCUGGGAAACGUCUCUCAAUCGCUUGGUCUUCAAUAUUUCAAAUAGAGGAUAUGAUGUAAAACCAGAUUUUCCCUAAAACUCACUGAAUAUAAGAUUUUGGGUGUUGAUACAGAAAAAUAAACCUUUUGUGAUUUUUUUAUAAUCAUACCCUAGAAUGAUCCAGACAUUCAAAAAUCUACCAUUAUUGGAAAGAGAAGAUGUUUCAGUGAUUUACAGAGCUGGGAAAAUGAAGGGACAGAGAAAAGAACAGAAAACAAGGAAAAAAAAAGAAAAGAGGCAGUAAAACCCAGUUGUAAGAAGCUGGGUAUUAGAGGUCCAUUUAUGACCUCUAAUCACAGCAGGGAAACGUUCCUGAGGAAAUGAUUGACAGUGAGUGACAGGUAGACAGAGGCAGACAGAUGGUAGACAGAGGAUACAUAGUACACAUGUAUGUACAUGUGGGCCUUUAAGUGUUUAAAAAUACGAGUUCAAGAGGUUUAUGCUUCACCUAAAAGAGAAAAGAAACAUAGUCUAAAUAUUCAAUGGUAUGCUCAUGUAUGUACAAUUGUAACAUCAUUCCUCUUUGGAAUUUCGGGUAACAAUUUAAAUGGUAUGUCUUAGAAUGAUGCAGUAACAUCCCAAAUGUUUGCAGUAUUGUGUUAACAUUUUCAGAGGGAGACUAGAAACUUAACCAAGUGUGGUGAAGGCGUUAUAUUCCUUUCCAACCUUUUCAGAUUUUCCAAAUAUUACCUAACACAUUUUCUAGUGGUGUGCACUCACGUGCAUAUUCAUAGGAGGCAGUUUAGAGGAAUGAAGUUGAGUGUCACUUGAGCCAAGAGCUCAGGUUCCUCUUAGCUGUGCUCAGAUUUGCUCAUUCUUUCUUUUGAAGCAUUGCAUGGGAGCUAUGUUGGGAGAAGAGGAUGGGUUCCCAUUCUCUGCAGAUUUUAGCCCCAUCAUCUUUUAUCCAUUACAUGAGAGAGAGAGAGAGAGAGAGAGAGAGAGAGAGACACAAAUCCUGCAGAGCAAGCAAUAAACCAACGAACAGCCUUCUAAUCAACUGUCUUAAAGAUUACCUCUCAAACUAGACAAAUUGAUCCAGCUAGCUUUAUGUAGCUGCCUGCCUAGAAUUCCCCUCAACCAAGAGCAUUUGGUCUGAUGAGACACCCUGUUGCUUUAGCAAGUAUCUCAUUUGCUGUCUGCCUCACUCUAUGAUGCAGAUCUGGCUGCUCUGAGUUCUCUUUUAGACUUGUGGCUUAAUGUGAAGCAAGGCAGAGAAGGAGGGGGUGAAGUUAUGAAGGAUUGAAAAAUGUGACUUGACUCCACAACAGUAUCACUAAGUAUUCAUUUAAUAGCAAGAAAAAGAGAGGGUGGGGAGGAUGGGGAACGAAUGGGGAGGAGGAGGGGAAAAAGCUGUGUCAUCAACUUACCUAGGUGUCAGUUGCUUUUCGUCGUUCAAGCUUAUUUUUUAUAGCACCCAAAACUCUUAAGAUGUAUUUUGAAAUAUUUUGCUCUCCUUUGUAAUUAAAGGUAGCAAGGCCAGCAUCUCCUAACAUCUUUAAAUAUCUGUCACCAUUUUGAAGGCCUUCCCCACUGUGAAACCUGUAAUUAAAAUUUAUACUACAUUA